rnacentral:rRNA from 1 species
CCUACGGGGUGCAGCAGUGGGGAAUAUUGGACAAUGGGCGAAAGCCUGAUCCAGCCAUGCCGCGUGUGUGAAGAAGGCCUUCGGGUUGUAAAGCACUUUCAGUGGGGAAGAAAGCCUUGGGGCUAAUACCCUCGAGGAAGGACAUCACCCACAGAAGAAGCACCGGCUAACUCCGUGCCAGCAGCCGCGGUAAUACGGAGGGUGCGAGCGUUAAUCGGAAUUACUGGGCGUAAAGCGCGCGUAGGCGGUCUGAUAAGCCGGUUGUGAAAGCCCCGGGCUCAACCUGGGAACGGCAUCCGGAACUGUCAGGCUAGAGUGCAGGAGAGGAAGGUAGAAUUCCCGGUGUAGCGGUGAAAUGCGUAGAGAUCGGGAGGAAUACCAGUGGCGAAGGCGGCCUUCUGGACUGACACUGACGCUGAGGUGCGAAAGCGUGGGUAGCAAACAGGAUUAGAUACCCUAGUAGC